UGAGAGCUUGCUCUCAAGAAGUUAGCGGCGGACGGGUGAGUAACACGUGGGUAACCUGCCCAUAAGACUGGGAUAACUCCGGGAAACCGGGGCUAAUACCGGAUAACAUUUUGAACUGCAUGGUUCGAAAUUGAAAGGCGGCUUCGGCUGUCACUUAUGGAUGGACCCGCGUCGCAUUAGCUAGUUGGUGAGGUAACGGCUCACCAAGGCAACGAUGCGUAGCCGACCUGAGAGGGUGAUCGGCCACACUGGGACUGAGACACGGCCCAGACUCCUACGGGAGGCAGCAGUAGGGAAUCUUCCGCAAUGGACGAAAGUCUGACGGAGCAACGCCGCGUGAGU
rnacentral:rRNA from 1 species